rnacentral:rRNA from 1 species
AGAGUUUGAUCCUGGCUCAGAACGAACGCUGGCGGCGUGCUUAACACAUGCAAGUCGAACGGAGCCAUAAUGAAGUAGCAAUACGGAGAUAUGGCUUAGUGGCGGACGGGUGAGUAACACGUAGGUAACCGACCCUGAAGCGGGGGACAACUCUUCGAAAGGAGAGCUAAUACCGCAUAAGACCACGAUCUGGAAGGAUUGUGGUAAAAGUAGCAAUACACUUUAGGACGGGCCUGCGGCCUAUCAGGUAGUUGGUAAGGUAACGGCUUACCAAGCCUAAGACGGGUAGCCGGACUGAGAGGUUGAACGGCCACACUGGAACUGAGAUACGGUCCAGACUCCUACGGGAGGCAGCAGUGGGGAAUUUUGCGCAAUGGGCGAAAGCCUGACGCAGCGACGCCGCGUGGAGGAUGAAGGUCUUCGGAUUGUAAACUCCUUUUGUAGGGAAAGAUAAUGACGGUACCCUGCGAAUAAGCCACGGCUAACUCUGUGCCAGCAGCCGCGGUAAGACAGAGGUGGCAAGCGUUGUUCGGAAUUACUGGGCUUAAAGGGCGCGUAGGUGUCCUGGCAAGUCAGAUGUGGAAUCUUUCUGCUUAACGGAAAAAUUGCAUUUGAAACUGCCGGGAUUGAGUCAGACAGGGGAUGGCGGAUUCCUGGUGUAGCGGUGAAAUGCGUAGAUUCAGAGGAAGGCCUGUGGUGAAGACGGCAUCUGGGUCUGAACUGACACUGAGCGCGAAAGCGUGGGUAGCCAGGAUUAGAUACCCUGGUAGUC